GCUAAGUUUUCAGACAACCCCAAAGAUUUACUGGCUUUACUGGAUAGUGUCAUGUUCACCCACCAGCCCACUUGGGACGAUUGUCAGCAGCUCCUCCGAAUCUUGUUUACCACGGAGGAGCGAGAGAGAAUACAGGCCGGCGUAGGACUACAACACGGCAGAAGGUAGGGGACGGCUACACCUUUAUCGCCAGACUCUAAUGGCAGGUCUCCGGGCAGUUGCUCGCAAGCCCACUAAUUUGGCCACAGUAUAUUCUAUUCUAUAGGGAAAGACAGAGAGCCCAGCCACCUACUUAAAAAGAUUAAUGGAAGCUUUUAGACAGUACACCCCCAUAGAUCCAGAGGCUCCAGGAAGUCAGGCAGCUGUUGUAAUGUCUUUCGUAAAUCAGGCAGCCCCAAAUAUUAAAAAAACUCCAAAAAUUAAAAGACUCGGAAGGAAAGCGGAUUCAGGACCUCCUUCAGAUAGCCCAGUGGGUUUAUAAUAACAGAGAUACUCCAGAGGAAAGGCAAUUUAAGGCCACUGAACCAAGGUCCUGGCAGCAGUAGUACAGAAAAAACAUCUACAGCCAGAGUACACC